AUUGAACGCUGGCGGCAGGCCUAACACAUGCAAGUCGAACGAGUGGCGGACGGGUGAGUAAUGUCUGGGGAUCUGCCUGAUGGAGGGGGAUAACUACUGGAAACGGUGGCUAAUACCGCAUACCAUCAGAUGUGCCCAGAUGGGAUUAGCUAGUUGGUGGGGUAAAGGCUCACCAAGGCGACGAUCUCUAGCUGGUCUGAGAGGAUGACCAUCCACACUGGAACGGAGACACGGGCCAGACUCCUACGGGAGGCAGCAGUGGGGAAUAUUGCACAAUGGGCGCAAGCCUGCUGCAGCCAUGCCGCGUGUAUGAAGAAGGCCUUCGGGUUGUAAAGUACUUUCAGCGGGGAGGCGUUACCCACAGAAGAAGCACCGGCUAACUCCGUGCCAGCAGCCGCGGUAAUAC
rnacentral:rRNA from 1 species